UUGAAAGCUGGAAUGAGCCAGAAGAAGAAGGCAAAUCAUUUAAAAACGAAAAACAAGAUAUAAUAACCUAUUGAAAAGUUAUACAGUACCUAUUGAAUAAUUAUACCUUUUGCCUGUCCGUUUCACUCAGGUGCACAUUUUUUGUUGGUGACUAUUUUUUUUUUUUUUUUAUAGCCUGGUGAUUAGACAAGGUAUGGUGUGAAGUUCUGCUGAUUUAGGAAGGUGCAUGGGGCAGCAGGAGCUCUGCAAUCCUUUCUUUUUGGAAAUGACUGUAUUUGCUGUCCUACUGAUCUGGCACAUUGGACUGUCACUUGGAGGUAACACAUACUUCCAAGACAAGACAGUUGUGCAGAAGAGUGUGGAUUUCAAUAAGGAAUACAAUGACUUUCAAUGCUGAACAACAAAUGAUAUAUGCUUUCAACCACACAAUGCUUAGGAACAAGAUAAUUUAUGGUGAUCCCGGUGAAAUGUAACGAGCAGUCGUUCCGCAUGGAAAUAUGAGAAGACGGUGAAGGUUUUCAAAACUGAAGUGACUACACUGCAUUGCGUUUAUUUUCUGACGGACGGUACUUCUGGACAAAAUUCAUUAGAGCAAACUGCUGAAAGAGGCCUAACGCGUUUCGGGAUUGGAACCCGUAAUCAUAGGCUCAGGGGAAUAUCGGAAUAUCUCCACAAUUGCAGUUUUUAUGCACUGCCUGUCAUACAUCUCAUUAUCACCAGACAGUGCUGAAUGUGACUGGAAACCAAGACAUCUUCUAUUAUAACUUCCUCUGUGUUCAUCCCCUGGUUUCAUUAAGUGCCUUCAACAACAUCCAUAGUAAGUUAUUCUAUAUGAUACUUCUCGUUCUUGUCAUUGUGCUGCAGAGAGAACUCAGUCAUAACUACAACCGCAUCAAUAUUAGGGGUCGUCUUCAGGUAAAAUACAAGUCUUUGUCAAAUAAGGGUAUGGGAGAGCUUUUUUUUUACUUAAAAAAAAGAUUAAAUAUCGUGGGCAGAGAGGGAAGUUAUGUGUGGUCAUGGAAUAUAUUUGUAGGGUGGAAAUGCAAAGUCAAGAAGCAUCUUUUUGAUUUACCUAAUUUUUCUCUUUCUGUUCAGGAAUGCGGGCUCCCCAAACAUUUUGGUUUGUGUUACGCAAUGGGUACUGCACUGAUGAUGGAAGGCCUUCUUAGCACCUGUUAGUAUGUGUGCCCAAUCUACACAGACUUAUAGUUUGGUUAGUACUUUUACUCUGUACACCUUCUUUAUCUCUACUUCUUACCAAGCCAUUCAGUGCUCAUAAAGCUUAUAAAUUUUGGUCAAAGUGUGGUACUAACACCUCAUUUAUUGUGAUAAUUAUUUUUAAAGGAGAAGGAAACCCUGUA